GGAAUGGAUUAAGAGCUUGCUCUUAUGAAGUUAGCGGCGGACGGGUGAGUAACACGUGGGUAACCUGCCCAUAAGACUGGGAUAACUCCGGGAAACCGGGGCUAAUACCGGAUAACAUUUUGAACUGCAUGGUUCGAAAUUGAAAGGCGGCUUCGGCUGUCACUUAUGGAUGGACCCGCGUCGCAUUAGCUAGUUGGUGAGGUAACGGCUCACCAAGGCAACGAUGCGUAGCCGACCUGAGAGGGUGAUCGGCCACACUGGGACUGAGACACGGCCCAGACUCCUACGGGAGGCAGCAGUAGGGAAUCUUCCGCAAUGGACGAAAGUCUGACGGAGCAACGCCGCGUGAGUGAUGAAGGCUUUCGGGUCGUAAAACUCUGUUGUUAGGGAAGAACAAGUGCUAGUUGAAUAAGCUGGCACCUUGACGGUACCUAACCAGAAAGCCACGGCUAACUACGUGCCAGCAGCCGCGGUAAUACGUAGGUGGCAAGCGUUAUCCGGAAUUAUUGGGCGUAAAGCGCGCGCAGGUGGUUUCUUAAGUCUGAUGUGAAAGCCCACGGCUCAACCGUGGAGGGUCAUUGGAAACUGGGAGACUUGAGUGCAGAAGAGGAAAGUGGAAUUCCAUGUGUAGCGGUGAAAUGCGUAGAGAUAUGGAGGAACACCAGUGGCGAAGGCGACUUUCUGGUCUGUAACUGACACUGAGGCGCGAAAGCGUGGGGAGCAAACAG
rnacentral:rRNA from 1 species